rnacentral:rRNA from 1 species
CCUACGGGGGGCUGCAGUGAGGAAUAUUGGUCAAUGGGCGAAAGCCUGAACCAGCCAUGUCGCGUGCAGGAAGACGGCCCUAUGGGUUGUAAACUGCUUUUGUAUGGGAAGAAACGACGGUACGAGUACUGUUUUGCCGGUACCAUACGAAUAAGGAUCGGCUAACUCCGUGCCAGCAGCCGCGGUAAUACGGAGGAUCCAAGCGUUAUCCGGAUUUAUUGGGUUUAAAGGGUGCGUAGGCGGGAGAUUAAGUCAGUGGUGAAAGUUUGCGGCUC